rnacentral:rRNA from 1 species
AGAGUUUGAUCAUGGCUCAGGAUGAACGCUAGCGGGAGGCCUAACACAUGCAAGCCGAGCGGUAGAGUAUCUUCGGAUACUUGAGAGCGGCGCACGGGUGCGGAACACGUGUGCAACCUGCCUUUAUCUGGGGGAUAGCCUUUCGAAAGGAAGAUUAAUACCCCAUAAUAUAUUUGAUGGCAUCAUUAGAUAUUGAAAACUCCGGUGGAUAGAGAUGGGCACGCGCAAGAUUAGUUAGUUGGUGAGGUAACGGCUCACCAAGGCGAUGAUCUUUAGGGGGCCUGAGAGGGUGAUCCCCCACACUGGUACUGAGACACGGACCAGACUCCUACGGGAGGCAGCAGUGAGGAAUAUUGGACAAUGGGUUAGCGCCUGAUCCAGCCAUCCCGCGUGAAGGACGACGGCCCUAUGGGUUGUAAACUUCUUUUGUAUAGGGAUAAACCUACUCUCGUGAGAGUAGCUGAAGGUACUAUACGAAUAAGCACCGGCUAACUCCGUGCCAGCAGCCGCGGUAAUACGGAGGGUGCAAGCGUUAUCCGGAUUUAUUGGGUUUAAAGGGUCCGUAGGCGGAUCUGUAAGUCAGUGGUGAAACCUCAUAGCUUAACUAUGAAACUGCCAUUGGUACUGCAGGUCUUAAGUAAAUUUGAAGUGGCUGGAAUAAGUAGUGUAGCGGUGAAAUGCAUAGAUAUUACUUAGAACACCAAUUGCGAAGGCAGGUCACUAAGAUUAAC